GCCCAUGACUGACCCGCCAACGCUUCUUCCCCCAGUUCCCAGCCGAAAGGCGGCCGGGUGCCCUCAGCCCUCUCGCUGAGCGUUGUAAGGAGACCACCUUGAGAAGGGGUUAGAGCUGUCCCGGCGCAAAGGUCAUCCCCGCACCCCGCUCCCAUGCCUGCCGUCAGGCCAUGAACUUUCCAGUGGGCCUAGGGGUUCCUGCCUCCCCCUCAGCAUGCCUGUAACCCUAAGGUAGCCGAGCGGUGGGGGUUCGAGGCUCCCUCCCUCCUUUGGCCCUUCACGAGAGCGCUUUUCUGGGCGCACAAGUGUGUGUGUGAGGAGCGGAGAGGAGCACCGAGAGGCUGUUGUUUUAAACACAGUUUCAAAGAGAGAGGCGAGGAGGUUGUGUAUGGGGUGUAGGGCAGGGGUGUGAUCCGGAGACCCUUCCCAGCCCAUGGCACCGAGCCCAUCGCUCAGAAGUUUCCUUUUGGCUUGCGAAACAGGCGCAACGUUGUCCCGCCUCGCGUGACAUAAAGGAGAUUGGGACAAUAGCUGGAGUGGAUUAUGCAUUCCCGUAGGCGAUACUUCCCUAUAUGAGCUUCAGGAUGCAGUUGGAAGCUCGGGAACAAAGCGGGCAUCGAAUGUCAAGGAAACUCAAAACGGAAGGAGGGAUGCUACUUGAAAGUGUGACUCAAAAAAAGGUUUCGCUUUACAGCCAUCAGUAGCACCAGGAGACAGCUCCAUUAAAAAAGUAGUUUUCCACUGCUCUUGAAAAGCCGUUAUUUUUUACAUCGCUUUUAGGAAGAUAGAUUAACAAAACAUCACAUUUCAAGCCACUCUGAUCUGUAAUUAAAUGGAGGAGCCCGUUUGUAUUCUCCUAUGGCUUUUACAGAAGUUGCAGUGAUCCAAAGUCAGGUUGCUGUGUCAGAGUGGCAUUUUUAUUAAUGAGAAUACAAAAAGCUUGCAUAUUCUUAGCCCGGCUUGAAUUUAGUUGCUAAGCAACCGCUGUAUGGUAAUUCAUCCGCGAAAUUUAAAUCUUGGAGAAAGGAUCCUGCGUUUUGCUGAAUGGUCGCCACGAGGAAAACAACUUGUGGGACCGGCGGCAGCUGCCG